UACGAAGGGGGCUAGCGUUGUUCGGAAUUACUGGGCGUAAAGCGCACGUAGGCGGAUGUCUAAGUCGGGGGUGAAAGCCUUGGGCUCAACCCAAGAAUUGCCUUCGAUACUGGAUAUCUUGAGACCGGGAGAGGUGAGUGGAAUUCCGAGUGUAGAGGUGAAAUUCGUAGAUAUUCGGAAGAACACCAGUGGCGAAGGCGGCUCACUGGCUCGUAACUGACGCUCAUGCACGACAGCGUGGGGAUCAAACAGG
rnacentral:rRNA from 1 species